rnacentral:misc_RNA from 1 species
GAUGAAGAACGCAGCGAAAUGCGAUAAGUAAUGUGAAUUGCAGAAUUCAGUGAAUCAUCGAAUCUUUGAACGCACAUUGCGCCCGCUAGUAUUCUGGCGGGCAUGCCUGUCCGAGCGUCAUUUCAACCCUCAAGCCCCCGGGCUUGGUGUUGGGGAUCGGCGAGCCUCCGCGCCCGCCGUCCCCUAAAUCUAGUGGCGGUCUCGCUGUAGCUUCCUCUGGGUAGUAGCACACCUCGCACUGGGAAACAGCGCGGCCACGCCGUUAAACCCCCAACUUCUGAACGUUUGACCUCGGAUCAGGUAGGAAUACCCGCUGAACUUAAGCAUAUCAAUAAGCGGAGGA